rnacentral:rRNA from 1 species
AGAGAUGGGACUAGCCAUGCGAGUCGACCAGCAAUGUGUGGCAUACGGCUCAGUAACACGUAGUCAACAUGCCCAGAGGACGUGGAUAACCUCGGGAAACUGAGGAUAAACCGCGAUAGGUCAUAAUUACUGGAAUGUGUUAUGGCCCAAAUCUAUAUGGCCUCUGGAUUGGACUGCGGCCGAUCAGGCUGUUGGUGAGGUAAUGGCCCACCAAACCUUUUACCGGUACGGGCUCUGAGAGGAGGAGCCCGGAGAUGGGCACUGAGACAAGGGCCCAGGCCCUAUGGGGCGCAGCAGGCGCGAAACCUCUGCAAUAGGCGAAAGCCUGACAGGGUUACUCUGAGUGAUUCCCGCUAAGGGAAUCUUUUGGCAUCUCUAAAAAUGGUGCAGAAUGAGGGGUGGGCAAGUCUGGUGUCAGCCGCCGCGGUAAUACCAGCACCCCGAGUGGUCGGGACGAUUAUUGGGCCUAGAGCAUCCGUAGCCGGUCUUGCAAGUCUUCCGUUAAAUCCAGCUGCUUAACAGAUGGGCUGCGGAGGAUACUACAAGGCUAGGAGGCGGGAGAGGCAAGCGGUACUCAGUGGGUAGGGGUAAAAUCCUCUGAUCCAUUGAAGACCACCAGUGGCGAAGGCGGCUUGCCAGAACGCGCUCGACGGUGAGGGAUGAAAGCUGGGGGAGCAAACCGGAUUAGAUACCCGGGUAGUCCCAGCUGUAAACGAUGCAGACUCGGUGAUGGGCCGGCUUUAUGCCGGCUCAGUGCCGCAGGAAAGCCGUUUAGUCUUGCCGCCUGGGGAGUACGGUCCGCAAAACUGAAACCUAAAAGGAAAUUGGCGGGGGAGCACCCCCAAGGGGUGAAACCCUGCGGUUUCAAUUGAAUUCCACGGCCGGAAUAUCUUACCCGGG